rfam:Homo sapiens chromosome 16, GRCh38 reference primary assembly.
GCCGGGCAUGGUGGUGCGUGCCUGUAAUCCCAGCUACUUGGGAGGCUGAGGCCAGAGAAUCGCUUGAACCUGGGAGCUGGAGGUUGCAGUGAGCCAAGAUUGGCCCACUGCACUCCAGCGUGGGUGACAGAGCGACACUCUGUCUCAA